rnacentral:rRNA from 2 species
GACGAACGCUGGCGGCGUGCCUAAUACAUGCAAGUCGAGCGGACAGAAGGGGGCUUGCUCCCGGACGUUAGCGGCGGACGGGUGAGUAACACGUGGGCAACCUGCCCCUUAGACUGGGAUAACUCCGGGAAACCGGAGCUAAUACCGGAUAAUCCCUUUCUCCACCUGGAGAGAGGGUGAAAGAUGGCUUCGGCUAUCACUAGGGGAUGGGCCCGCGGCGCAUUAGCUAGUUGGUAAGGUAACGGCUUACCAAGGCGACGAUGCGUAGCCGACCUGAGAGGGUGAUCGGCCACACUGGGACUGAGACACGGCCCAGACUCCUACGGGAGGCAGCAGUAGGGAAUCUUCCGCAAUGGACGAAAGUCUGACGGAGCAACGCCGCGUGAGUGAGGAAGGCCUUCGGGUCGUAAAGCUCUGUUGUGAGGGAAGAAGCGGUACCGUUCGAAUAGGGCGGUACCUUGACG